rnacentral:rRNA from 1 species
AACUCGGACCAAGGAGUCUAGCAUGUGCGCGAGUCAUUGGGAAUUACUAAACCUAAAGGCGCAAUGAAAGUGAAGGUCCGCCUUGCGCGGACCAAGGGAAGAUGGGCGCGUCCGGUGAUUACCACGGCCGCCCCGCACUCCCGGGGCGUCUCGUUCUCAUUGCGAGAAGAGGCGCACCAAGAGCGUACACGCUGGGACCCGAAAGAUGGUGAACUAUGCCUGGUCAGGACGAAGUCAGGGGAAACCCUGAUGGAGGUCCGUAGCGAUUCUGACGUGCAAAUCGAUCGUCGGAACUGGGUAUAGGGGCGAAAGACUAAUCGAACCAUCUAGUAGCUGGUUCCCUCCGAAGUUUCCCUCAGGAUAGCUGGCGCUCGUUGCAUACGAGUCUCAUCCGGUAAAGCGAAUGAUUAGAGGCAUUGGGGUCGAAACGGCCUCAACCUAUUCUCAAACUUUAAAUGGGUGAGAUCUCCGGCUUGCUCAAACAUUUUCUAAAUGAAGCCGUGAGACACGGAUCAGAGUGCCAAGUGGGCCAUUUUUGGUAAGCAGAACUGGCGCUGUGGGAUGAACCAAACGCCGAGUUAAAGCGCCUAAAUCGACGCUUAUGGGAUACCAUGAAAGGCGUUGGUAACUUAAGACAGCAGGACGGUGGCCAUGGAAGUCGGAAUCCG